AAAUAAAUUAAUUUAAUAAAUUGUAAAUUUAUUAAAGAAUAUUGAUUCUUUAUUUA
rnacentral:tRNA from 1 species